rnacentral:rRNA from 1 species
UUUAAGGUCNAACCUGCCCAAUGAGGAUUUAAAUGGCCGCAGUAUUUUGACUGUGCAAAGGUAGCAUAAUUAUUAGUUUUUUAAUUGAAANCUUGUNUGAAGGGUUGGACNAGAUAAAAUCUGUCUUUAUUUAAAUUAAAGUAUAAUUUAACUUUUAAGUCAAAAGGCUUAAAUGUUUAUAAAAGACGAGAAGACCCUAUANAUCUUUAUUUANUUAAGAUUUUAAUAAUUUAGGAUUAUUUUAAUUUGGAGUUUUAAUUAAAUUUUAUUGGGGUAAUAUAAAGAUUAAAUUAAUUCUUUUUAUUUAUGACAUUNAUUUAUGAAUAUGUGAUCCAUUAAUAUUGAUUAUAANAUUAAGUUACCUUANGGAUAACAGNGUAAUUUUUUUGGAGAGCUCAUAUCGAUAA